ensembl:lncRNA
GCGCAUAACAAGCAGCUGGAGGACGCGCACGGUGGCAGCACCCAGUGGGAUAGCGGAGGAGAUCAAGGACAUGGACAUACAACCGCUGCGUUCCCUCCCCUCUGCCUGGAGUGGGAGCGCCAGCCCAUCGGGUGCCCCACACUCCGGGCUUCCCUUGGCAGCUCGGCUCCUCUUCCAAACCAACAACUGGACUCAGACAGGGCCUUGAGCAAAAUGUGCAGCCUCUCCCGUAGCUAGUAUUAAUUUUAUUGCACCUGGCAAUGGUGUGCUCAGCAUCCUCCAGGGUGCUCAGCCACGACCCCGUGCCUUAGAGCCUGCUCCAUAGGGAGCCCUGCUGGUCUCAGAGUCGAACACACACACACACACACACACACACACACACAUAUGAGCACACGGCACUCCACCAUUUUGGGCCCACCCUCAGUGUGCAAAAUGGUGGUGGGCACAGCUGCACCCAUCGGUGGCUGCGUUGCGUGCGGAGCUCCUGAUUGCAUCUCAGUUGUCAUGCCACUCAGCGAGCAGCGAAGCUAAAUUAGAGCAACUAAUUGCACCUCUCGCUGAAACAAUCAGGAUGACAAAUCAGUGGUAAUCUCUUCGGUUCUGGAGAGGAGCUAUAGCUGCUCACUUACAAGGAUUAAUCAGCUUUUCAUCAGUGUUUUUAGACCGCCGCUGCCUCAGGAGGAGCCCCGAGGCCACACCGGCCGGGCUCACACCAUGGGGAUACCAAGAAAUGUGGAUGUGAUGGAACACCACGCAGCAGCCCUCACUUGCAGCCCUCUGGCACAUGCCCAGCACUCACGGGGAAUGGCAGUGGGAGCAGCACCAGAUGGGCUCCAAGGACACCACGCUGCCACCGGACCCACACCGACCAACCCAGAAGCAGUGGGAGCUGCUCUGUAGGGACUGGGAGGAGAAUCUGCAUGGCCUCAGGUUUUUAGCUUAGGGCAGGUGGCCGUUUUGCUUUCCGUGGGCAUUUCAACUUUAUGUGGCUUAAUGGAAAGCUUAGCCUUGAACGGAGUGCAUUCACACAUUAAGAGCAAAAAAAAAAAAAAAAAAACAGGACAAAAAAGCCAUAAUGACUGCAGUGGCAUCUUACAGAUCAGACAGGGAGAAGUAUGUGGUGCCUCUCUCCUUUGGGUAGUGAGUUGCAGGAGAUACCUUGGCAAGCCCUCCCCAUUGCACAGCAGAGGUUCAUUCCACGAGUCAGGAGUGCAUCCCAGGGUUCUCACAAGCACUGCUCUGGAUCCAUGGUUUGGGGCUGCUGCAGGGAAAUCCCCCACCCCCUGUUGUGCUGGAGCUGUCAGCAGGCACUGCUGGGGCCCUUCAACUCUUCACCACGGCAUGGCUGUGCCCAGACAAGCCGCUUGCUGCCUAACAAAGGUAAAUGAGCAGCUCUACAAUCUCCCUCCUGGGCAACAGAUUCAUCAGCUCUCACACUUCCACUACACUUCAUGGCAAUCCCAGAGCACUUUGCAGCUCCCAGCUGUUAAUGCUGAUGAUAGCAGAGAGCUUUUACAGAAAAUGCCUGAGAUCCUGUGCUGCACCAAGCGGGGGUGACCCCCAGCAGGCCUCAGGAGGAAAGACAACACAUCUCCAUGGACAAAAUGAACCCACUUGCAUUUGAUGGACCCAUUUUCUUACUAUCACAGGCCAUCCCCGUGGUCCACAAAGGCCUCCACACCAGACCAGGCAGGAGCUAAGCACACAAGCAGAAGCAUGGGGUGCACAGAGGAAAGGAGAAGGCCACGGUGCUGGCAUGAAGACCCCUGGAGACAAAUUCUUGCCCUUAAAAUAACUUCUUUUCCAUGCAGCACUCAGAGCCCCUGACAAUAGGGCUGAAGCCCUGCACAUGGCACUGCUACACCCUGGAAGAACUCUGCAGAGGGCACAUGGCAUUUCGGACCCCUACCUCAGCUUCCCCAGCUGUAGGUUACUCCAUUCCCUCCCCAGUGCAGCCCUGCCAGCCCUGUUCUCCAUGCUGAGCCCGGGCUGGGCUGCGGAUAAAACCCUACAUGGCCCUUCUUAGGGAACCACACAGGGAUGCAUUUGCCACAGCUGGAUGUGUCUGGUCAGGUCCCUGCCUCUCACACCCAGCCCACUGUGACCUUAGAGGCUGAACAGGAGCAGAACCCAGGGAGACCCUUGCUGCUGCUGCUGCUACCCCAUCUGUACCACUGCUGGAUAAGGAGAGGGUCCUGACCUCAGGAAGGGAUAGUCAGCAUCUCCAUCACCCUAUGCUGUCCACCCUCUCUCCAGAGAACACGUCUGGGAGGCAACCUCUGUGAAAGCAGCAGGCUGCUGGCAUUUAUGCAACUGAAUCAGCCCUCUCAGCAUGGAACACGCCCCCAGUAUACCCCCCACAAACCUAUAUACACCCUCCCUCACUCUCUCCAUCAGCGUGACCACGGUGCACCUGCCUGCAGACAAAGGCUGACAGUCGUGUCCAUCCUGCCUCCUGCUAGGGCCAACCAGGUCUAGCAGGCAUCCAGGCCUCGUGCUCUCACUUAGGUGCAGGUGAGUGCUGCUGCCAGCGAGCCUGCCCAGUGCAGCAGCUCCGAGUGGGAGCCUGCCCAGCUGUGAGCCAGGAGAUGGUCCUUGGAGUCCAGGAGGCAGUCGGCACCAAGGGCAGCACAGUGCUGCCUGGGGAUGCCAGCUGGGAGGGCGUCCAUGUGGCUCUGGGUCGAAUCGCAGCCUGUAAUGGAUGGAGAGCAGAGCGGGUUAGCAAAACCCAGCGAGAGUUACGGAAGCUUGGCUAACAGCAGCUUGGUGGGGCUUCAGAGCCUGUGUCUGCAGAGAUGCUGG